GGGGUCGUUUGGUUUUGACAGCGGGUUCGGGGGAUUGUAAGCAGGUCGGAGUUUGUGAGCCGACUCCGUCAAAAAUCAACUCUCGAUGCCAAUAAACGGCGAAAAUUCUUAUGCAUUCGCAGCGUAACCGUUGCGGAUCCUGCCGCGCAGACAAGGUCUGUAGCCGCGGGCGCUUCCCCGGAAGUUAAUCGGUCCGACGUCCGGCCAGAAGUGUCAUAAAGGGACAGAUAGCGAGUGUAGGCCUCGAUGCACAAGCGAAAAUCUUGAGGAUACGCGCCAGACAGGUUGGUCCCGUACCAUUCUGGCGCCGACAAGCAAACGGAGACUAAACUUGUAGAAAGCAAUUCUGCGGCCGGUUUGGACGAGGGUUCGACUCCCUCCGGCUCCACU
rnacentral:tmRNA from 1 species